rnacentral:rRNA from 1 species
CAAUAGAUCCUAAAUGGCGAUGCUUCUUUCCAGGAAAGCGAUCACUCAGGUGGGUGUGGAGCGGUGGUCAGGGACAAUCGUGGAGGUUUCAUUGCAGCAACUACUGCCAACCUGCUGCAUGUCACAGAUGUGGUUUCGGCAGAAGCGGCGGCACUGCGCGAAGGUCUAAAGUUAUUGCAGAAUCUUGGGUGCAGCAACGUAAUGGUGAGGAUGGACAAUAUUGUUGUGGUGGAUUGCCUUCGGCUGAAUGAAGGUCAUGCUAUGGUGGCAGCUCCAAUCUUCGAAGAGUGUAGAAUUCUACUCAGGGACAAAGGGAAGGUGACUAUCGAGCAUUGCAAUCGGGAAUCAAAUUGUGUUGCUCAUGAGCUAGCUAGCUGGGGUGGUGCAAACACUCCAUCCUUGUGGGUGGAUGCACCGCCUGAUUUUAUUGUAAAAUUUCUAGCGGAUGAUGUAAAUUUGAUUGAUCAAUAA